GACGAACGCUGGCGGCGUGCUUAACACAUGCAAGUCGAACGGAAAGGCCCUGCCUUGGUGGGGUGCUCGAGUGGCGAACGGGUGAGGAACACGUGAGUAACCUGCCCUUGACUUUGGGAUAACUUCAGGAAACUGGGGCUAAUACCGGAUAGGAGCUCUCGCUGCAUGGUGGGGGUUGGGAAGUUUCGGCGGUUGGGGCUGGACUCGCGGGUGAUCAGGGUGUUGGUGGGGGAGGGGCUUACAAAGGCUUUGAAGGGUAGCCGGCCUGAGAGGGUGACCGGCGACAUUGGGACUGAGAUACGGCCCAGACUCCUACGGGAGGCAGCAGUCGGGAGUAUUGCACAGUAGGCGGAAGCCUGAUGCAGCAGCGCCGCGUGCGGGAUGACGGCCUUCGGGUUAUAAACCGCUUUCGCCUGUGACGAAGCGUGAGUGACGGUAAUGGGUAAAGAAGCCCCGGCUAACUACGUG
rnacentral:rRNA from 1 species